rnacentral:rRNA from 1 species
AGAGUGAACGCUGGCGGUAGGCCUAACACAUGCAAGUCGAACGGCAGCACAGUGGUAGCAAUACCAUGGGUGGCGAGUGGCGGACGGGCGAGGAAUACAUCGGAAUCUACCUUUUCGUGGGGGAUAACGUAGGGAAACUUACGCUAAUACCGCAUACGCCCUUCGGGGGAAAGCCGGGGAUCGCAAGACCUGGCGCGGAUAGAUGAGCCGAUGUCGGAUUAGCUAGUUGGUGAGGUAAUGGCUCACCAAGGCGACGAUCCGUAGCUGGUCUGAGAGGAUGAUCACGCCACACGUAGGAACUGGAGACCGUACGGUCCACGACCUCCGUACGGGAGCAGGCAGGUGGGAAUAGUGGAACAAGUGGG